rnacentral:ncRNA from 1 species
CCCGCCUGGAAAGCGACGAUGCAUUCGUGCCUCGGCCUCGAGAGGCGUAGCUAGACGGCCGUGUGGCCGUGGAAAGAGCCCGAUUCCGACCCGAGAGGCCGCGGCAAGAGGCGGCCUCGAAGUCGGUGGAUCCUCCUGCUCGAAAGGCGGGGUGCUAAACCAUUCGCAGACGACCUAGUUGAAGAUCGGGGUGUCGUGAUCACUAGAGCAGUACAUCUCACUGCGAUUUGUUGAGAGUAAGCCUCAAGAUCUGUCGGUUUGU